CCCUGUUUCCUUCUCUCACUGCUGUGACUUUGUGUCUAUCCCCCUUUCAGUCUGAAUCUUUGUCACGUUUCUACCUCUCUAUUUCUCCAUUCACCACAUCUGUUCUCACAGAUUCUCACUGACAGACACAUAUCCAUUUCUUCCUUUAAUUCUCAAAUACUCUAAACACUUCCCCCAACCACUGUCCUCCUGGCACUGGGAAUUGUGGAGACUUGGGAGGAGGUGACCAUUGUGGGAGGAGUCUGUGGACCAGAUAUUCCUUACAGGGGAGGUGCGUGUGGGUUAGUGGUGGUCUCUUGGCAGUUGAAGGAUGGUUGAGGUAGGCUUGGCAUGGAUAUGAUUAGGAGCUUGUUAGGAGACCUUAGCGUUCUGUGUGGGCGAAGAAAGGAAGUGGAUUAUCAAAUUUCCUGUGACCUCUUCAGAGCCUUCUCACACUUGAGAACCAUCUUCCAGACCAGAGUACUUUGUGAUGAGAUGCCUUCAGUAUUCCAGUAAUUAAACUGUAUAUUUGGAGUCAAGGAUGAU
rnacentral:lncRNA from 1 species